rnacentral:sRNA from 1 species
GGAUGUGAGGGCAGUCUGGCAGAGAUAUCUGUCACUGUUGAUCACCAGGGUUGACUUGGUUGAUUUGGCUGGCUGGGCAGGUAUCUACUUCCUGGCCCACUGCUCCAUAUGUGUCCCUCCCAAAGCUGUGCAGUCAGUCAAAGAGAACAACCACCCUUGAUAGAGGAGGACCAUUUCCUUGGUCAAGGGCAUAUGAGUAGCUGCACUCUCCUGCUACAACCUCCAAACAAGUGCUGUUUUUUCCUCUCCUCCUUUCUUGUUCACCAAUUUAUUGGGGGUUGGGGAAUUUUCUUUUG